rnacentral:rRNA from 1 species
GAUGAACGCUGGCGGCGUGCUUAACACAUGCAAGUCGAACGGAAAGGCUCCUGCUUGCAGGGGUACUCGAGUGGCGAACGGGUGAGUAACACGUGGGUGAUCUGCCCUGCACUUCGGGAUAAGCCUGGGAAACUGGGUCUAAUACCGGAUAGGACGAUGGUUUGGAUGCCAUUGUGGAAAGUUUUUCGGUGUGGGAUGAGCUCGCGGCCUAUCAGCUUGUUGGUGGGGUAAUGGCCUACCAAGGCGUCGACGGGUAGCCGGCCUGAGAGGGUGUACGGCCACAUUGGGACGGAGAUACGCCCCAGACCCCGACGGGAGGAAGCGGUGGGGAUUAUGGAACAAGGGGCGCAAGCCUGAUGCAGCGCCGCGGGGGGGGGGAUGACGGCCUUGGGUUUGUAAACUCUUUUCGCUGGGGAAGAAGAGGAAGGGAGGGUACUGGGGAAAGAAGCCCGGGCAAACUACGUG